AACGACGUAAAUAAAUGGUAGUUCAAUGUGACAUAUCAUGCAACAACGAUAUCGUGCCUGCACGUCGAAGACUGAAUUGUUCGAUUUUCGAAUCGGACAAAGCUAGAGCCGUGAUACAUAACCUAUACACGCAGGAUAGUGCAAUGCUCCUGCGGCAUUGGUUAUGCGAUGGUGCCAUGCUCGCCGGCCGCAACUCUCUCGGCCGUCCAGUUCGUCGACUCAAAAGUUCCAACCAAGGGCAAACUAUGAGUAAUCGCGAUCCACGUGGCAACGGGAGCCUGGUUAUGCAACCGUUUCACCGUACGUACCACACGAAGCGUCAUUUGAUGAGAAUCGGUUACUUUCGUUGGGCUGCAAGUAACUUCUCGCGAGCUUAAAUCCGAUGCUCG
rnacentral:lncRNA from 1 species